rnacentral:rRNA from 1 species
UGGGGAAUUUUGCGCAAUGGACGAAAGUCUGACGCAGCAACGCCGCGUGAGGGAUGAAGGCCUUUGGGUCGUAAACCUCUGUCAGAAGGGAAGAAACCUUUGUUGGCUAAUACCCAACAGAACUGACGGUACC